GUAGCAAACAGGAUUAGAUAACCUGGUAGUCCACGCCGUAAACGAUGUCUACUAGUCGUUGGGUCCCUUGAGGACUUAGUGACGCAGCUAACGCAAUAAGUAGACCGCCUGGGGAGUACGGCCGCAAGGUUAAAACUCAAAUGAAUUGACGGGGGCCCGCACAAGCGGUGGAGCAUGUGGUUUAAUUCGAUGCAACGCGAAGAACCUUACCUGGUCUUGACAUAUCUAGAAUCCUGCAGAGAUGCGGGAGUGCCUUCGGGAAUUAGAAUACAGGUGCUGCAUGGCUGUCGUCAGCUCGUGUCGUGAGAUGUUGGGUUAAGUCCCGCAACGAGCGCAACCCUUGUCCUUAGUUACCAGCGGGUUAAGCCGGGAACUCUAAGGAUACUGCCAGUGACAAACUGGAGGAAGGCGGGGACGACGUCAAGUCAUCAUGGCCCUUACGACCAGGGCUACACACGUGCUACAAUGGUAGGUACAGAGGGCAGCUACACAGCGAUGUGAUGCGAAUCUCAAAAAGCCUAUCGUAGUCCAGAUUGGAGUCUGCAACUCGACUCCAUGAAGUAGGAAUCGCUAGUAAUCGCGGAUCAGAA
rnacentral:rRNA from 1 species